UACAGAGGUCUCGAGCGUUGUUCGGAUUCAUUGGGCGUAAAGGGUGCGUAGGUGGCGCCGUAAGUCGGGUGUGAAAUUUCGGAGCUUAACUCCGAAACUGCAUUCGAUACUGCGGUGCUUGAGGACUGGAGAGGAGACUGGAAUUCAUGGUGUAGCAGUGAAAAUGCGUAGAGAUCAUGAGGAAGACCAGUGGCGAAGGCGGGUCUCUGGACAGUUCCUGACACUGAGGCACGAAGGCCAGGGGAGCAAACGGGG
rnacentral:rRNA from 1 species